rnacentral:rRNA from 1 species
UACGAAGGGGGCUAGCGUUGUUCGGAUUCAUUGGGCGUAAAGGGUGCGUAGGCGGCGUGGUAAGUCGGGUGUGAAAUCUCGGAGCUUAACUCCGAAACUGCAUUCGAUACUGCCGUGCUUGAGGACUGGAGAGGAGACUGGAAUUUACGGUGUAGCGGUGAAAUGCGUAGAUAUCGUAAGGAAGACCAGUGGCGAAGGCGGGUCUCUGGACAGUUCCUGACGCUGAGGCACGAAGGCCAGGGGAGCAAACGGG